rnacentral:rRNA from 1 species
ACCAGACUCCUACGGGAGGCAGCAGUGGGGAAUAUUGCACAAUGGGGGAAACCCUGAUGCAGCGACGCCGCGUGAGCGAUGAAGUAUUUCGGUAUGUAAAGCUCUAUCAGCAGGGAAGAAAAUGACGGUACCUGACUAAGAAGCCCCGGCUAACUACGUGCCAGCAGCCGCGGUAAUACGUAGGGGGCAAGCGUUAUCCGGAUUUACUGGGUGUAAAGGGAGCGUAGACGGCUGUGCAAGCCAGAUGUGAAAGCCCGGGGCUCAACCCCGGGACUGCAUUUGGAACUGUGUGGCUGGAGUGUCGGAGAGGCAGGCGGAAUUCCUAGUGUAGCGGUGAAGUGCGUAGAUAUUAGGAGGAACAUCGGUGGCGAAGGCGGCUUACUGGGCUUUUACUGACGCUGAGGCUCGAAAGCGUGGGGAGCAAACAGGAUUAGAUACCCGAGUAC